rnacentral:rRNA from 1 species
CCUACGGGAGGCAGCAGAGGGGAAUAUUGGACAAUGGGGGAAACCCUGAUCCAGCGACGCCGCGUGAGUGAAGAAGUAUUUCGGUACGUAAAGCUCUAUCAGCAGGAAAGAAGAUGACGGUACCUGACUAAGAAGCCCCGGCUAACUACGUGCCAGCAGCCGCGGUAAUACGUAGGGGGCAAGCGUUAUCCGGAUUUACUGGGUGGAAAGGGAGCGUAGACGGCAGCGCAAGUCUGGAGUGAAAUGCCGGGGCCCAACCCCGGAACUGCUCUGGAAACUGUGAAGCUGGAGUGCAGGAGAGGUAAGCGGAAUUCCUGGUGUAGCGGUGAAAUGCGUAGAUAUCAGGAGGAACACCGGCGGCGAAGGCGGCUUACUGGACUGUAACUGACGUUGAGGCUCGAAGGCGUGGGGAGCAAACAGGAUUAGAUACCCCGGUAGUC